AUCUACAUGGUGGUUGAGACUAGAGAUUUGUGCUCUGUUUUGCUGCUAACCAUGGGAAAUGAGUCUUUGAGUUCUUUCAGAUGCAUGCAACUUUGGGUUGGCAUGGCAAGGGCAUCUAUUAGGAUUGCAGUGUUGCCUUUCUAGUUUCUAGUCUUUACAUUUUAUUGAAACAAAGGUCUGAGUCAUAGCAAUGUGACAUCCAGUAUGGUCCAGAUUACCAGAGUACGACUUAGAGGAUAAUGAAAUUUUCAUUUGAUAUAUGUAUCCCCUAGCUUUUUAAUGGAAUGUCUGGAGGGGAUUCCUCAGAGAGGGGUAUGCAGUCUGUUGUUCCAUUGGUCUUGGAUGGAUCUGAUAUGCUUCUUUACCUUGAUGAAUAGUUCCUCCGGUAUCCAACUUUAGUGCACCCUGAAGAGGAGGAGAUCUAUCAUUCAUGAUCUUGUUCUUGUAUGUUUUGGGCAUGGAUUGAGCAGAUGCCAAGGGUGGUAUUCUUGAUUCUUAAUUGGGGCUAGCUGGCUAAGUGUCCCCUGCAAUGUGAAUUUCCAGAAUCAGCUUCUUGCUUUUUGUUUCUCCUGAUCCGUUCCAGGAGGACUAGGGAACAAGAUUCUCUUUUCAGCUUUUUCCCUGAGGAGCUCACCAACAACUUUUCCUUAAAAAUGGAGUGGGUCAACACCAAAAGCUGAGAUGUACAAUUUGUUCUGACAUCCCAAUGCUAUCGCGUUGGGUUGGUAGUUUGCCAAAGUGUUUUCUACUAGAAAGAGAAAAGAGGAAAGAAGACGCGUUAUUCUUUUUUCUAAGAAAGCAGGGAUGAGUUUUCUUUGUUCAUAUUCAGCAAUUGCCCUCACGUUGGUGCAUAUCCCUUUUCCUGAUCAAUCACUUGUUACCAACAAUGCCCCUUUUUGGAGAA